GGGGAGGCAGCAGUGGGGAAUAUUGGACAAUGGGGGAAACCCUGAUCCAGCAAUGACGCUUGAGUGAAGAAGGCCUUCGGGUGGUAAAGCUCUUUUGUCAGGGAAGAAACAGCAGCUCUAACACAGUGUGAGAAUGACGGUACCUGAAGAAUAAGCACCGGCUAACUACGUGCCAGCAGCCGCGG
rnacentral:rRNA from 1 species